UACGAAGGGUGCAAGCGUUACUCGGAAUUACUGGGCGUAAAGCGUGCGUAGGCGGUUUGUUAAGUCCGCUGUGAAAGCCCUGGGCUCAACCUGGGAAUUGCAGUGGAUACUGGCAAGCUAGAGUGCGGUAGAGGAUGGUGGAAUUCCCGGUGUAGCGGUGAAAUGCGUAGAGAUCGGGAGGAACACCUGUGGCGAAAGCGGCUACCUGGACCGGUUCUGACGCUGAGGCGCGAAAGCGUGGGUAGCAAACAGG
rnacentral:rRNA from 1 species